rnacentral:lncRNA from 1 species
AUGCUCCACUGCAUGACUGAGGUGACCAGGCUCCGUAGCCGCGUGCACUGGUUACGGGCUACGCUCCUCUGGCUUCCUCCGGAGUCCUGUCUGGUCAGAGCUCCUGCAGACAGUGCAAUUUCUCAUUAUAUGGACCUUACAUGUCACAUCUGCAACAAGAUAGAGCUUACAAAGAGGCUCGUUUUUAAUGGAACUUUACCUGCUACAUUAAAGAUGUUCUUGUAUGUAUACAAACAGCAGCCACUAUUAAAUAGUGCAGUCAUUUAUUUACAACUAACAAUGGCAUAGACUUAAGUUCCAGGGGGGAAAAAGCAAUUAGUGACUAAUCGUCAUUUUGUGUGUGUGUUUGUUUGUGCAUUUGAGACUGUACUAUCAGAGCUUUUUGGCUAUGCUAUAAAAUCAGGGUCUUAAGGGGAGUGAAACUUUGCACAUUACAUGGGCCUGUAGUAGCAGGGUAAUUGCUUAUCUUUCAGAAACGGAGAGGCAUUAAAGAAUUCAAACACUGGGGGUGUAAAUUAAAUAAAUGAUUGUGUGACUGUCUUUUGCACUUCUUCACUCUGGCCUACCAAGCAUUUUAAUCUUUAUACAGAACCCAUAAUGUCUAAUUACAUUACAUACAAUAUAUAUAUAAGCCACACACACACACACACACACACACACACACAUAUAUAUAUAUAUAUAUAUAUAUAUAUAUAUAUAUAUAUAUAUAGUAACCUGGGAAAAUGGGGGGGGGGUAUCAAACCUUUGUCAAACUCUACAAACAUAAACUCUUAUUCGACAUAAAGCAGCCAAAAUAUCAGAAGUCUAAGCUUCCACAAGAAUGCUUAUGGUAAAAUGAGAAACAGUGAUGUGAUUUUAAUUAAAAAGUGCAUCAAGCUUUAUGCACUCAUUUUGCCCAAAGCGAUGUAAUGAAGAGAAUAUAUUGAGCUGUUUGCAUAUUAACCCCACA